AACGAACGCUGGCGGCAGGCCUAAUACAUGCAAGACGAACGGUAAGUUGAGUAGCAAUACUUAGCCAAGAGUGUCGUACGGGUGCGUAACACGUAUGCAACCCUACCCUAUACAGGAGGAUAGCCUAGGGAAACCUGGAUUAACCCUUCAUAGUAUUAUUGGAUGGCAUCAUUUGAUAAUUAAAACUGAGGUGGUAUAGGAUGGGCAUGCGUCUGAUUAGUUAGUUGGCGGGUAAUGGCCCACCAAGACGAUGAUCAGUAGGGGUUCUGAGAGGAAGAUCCCCCACACUGGCACUGAGAUACGGGCCAGACUCCUACGGGAGCAGCAGUAGGGAAUAUUGGUCAAUGGAUGCAAGUCUGAACCAGCCAUGCCGCGUGCAGGAAGAAGGCCUUCUGGGUUGUAAACUGCUUUUGCCAGGGGAUAAAAUUUCCAUGCGUGGAAAACUGAAGGUACCUGGUG
rnacentral:rRNA from 1 species